GGGCCCAUGUGGCUCAGUGGUAGAGCACCUGCUUUGCAUACAGAAGCUCCAGGUUCAAUCCCCACCAUCUCCA